CCUACGGGAGGCAGCAGUGGGGAAUAUUUGACAAUGGGGGAAACCCUGAUGCAGCGACGCCGCGUGAGUGAAGAAGUAUUUCGGUAUGUAAAGCUCUAUCAGAAGGGAAGAAAGAAAUGACGGUACCUGACUAAGAAGCCCCGAAGAACUACGUGCCAGCAGCCGCGGUAAUAUGUAGGGGGCAAGCGUUAUGCGGAUAUACUGGGUGUAAAGGGAGCGAAGAGGGCGAUGAAAGACUGAAGUGAAAGGGGGGGGCCCAACACCCAGACUGUUUUGGAAACUGUAUGGCUGGAGAGCAGGAGGGGUAAGUGGAAUUCCUAGUGUAGGAGUGAAAUGCGUAGAUAUUAGAAGGAACACCAGUGGCGUAGGCAGGUUACUGGAAUGGAUCUGACAUUGAGGCACGAAAGCGUAGGGAGCAAACGGGAUUAGAUACCCGGGUAGUC
rnacentral:rRNA from 1 species